GAUGAACGCUGGCGGCGUGCCUAAUACAUGCAAGUCGAGCGAACAGACGAGGAGCUUGCUCCUCUGACGUUAGCGGCGGACGGGUGAGUAACACGUGGAUAACCUACCUAUAAGACUGGGAUAACUUCGGGAAACCGGAGCUAAUACCGGAUAAUAUAUUGAACCGCAUGGUUCAAUAGUGAAAGACGGUUUUGCUGUCACUUAUAGAUGGAUCCGCGCCGCAUUAGCUUGUUGGUAAGGUAACGGCUUACCAAGGCGACGAUGCGUAGCCGACCUGAGAGGGUGGUCGGCCACACUGGAGCUGAGACACGGUCCAGACUCCUACGAGGGGCAGCAGUAGGGAAUCUUCCGCAAUGGGCGGAGGCCUGACGGAGCAACGCCGCGUGAGUGAUGAAGGUCUUCGGAUCGUAAAACUCUGUUAUUAGGAAAGAACAAAUGUGUAAGUAACUAUGCACGUCUUGACGGUACCUAAUCAGAAAGCCACGGCUAACUACGUG
rnacentral:rRNA from 1 species